rnacentral:rRNA from 1 species
GGGCCCGCACAAGCGGUGGAGUAUGUGGUUUAAUUCGAUGCAACGCGAAGAACCUUACCAGGGUUUGACAUCCUGCGAAUCUCUUGGAAACAGGAGAGUGCCCUCGGGAACGCAGUGACAGGUGGUGCAUGGCUGUCGUCAGCUCGUGUCGUGAGAUGUUGGGUUAAGUCCGGCAACGAGCGCAACCCACAUCCUUAGUUGCCAGCAGUUCGGCUGGGCACUCUAAGGAAACUGCCCGUGAUAAGCGGGAGGAAGGUGUGGAUGACGUCAAGUCAUCAUGCCCCUUACAUCCUGGGCUACACACGUACUACAAUGCUACGGACAAAGAGCAGCAAGUUCGCGAGGACAAGCAAAUCCCAUAAACCGUGGCUCAGUUCAGAUCGUAGGCUGCAACUCGCCUACGUGAAGGAGGAAUCGCUAGUAAUCG